rnacentral:lncRNA from 10 species
GGAGAAGAGAGCAUGAAGGAGCCCGCCUAACAUGUUUUAUCUGGCUUCUCAGAAAUGGCACAUGCUUCUACUUGCAUUCCAUUGGCAAGAACACACGGCACACCAGCUGCCCACGGGGAUAGGGAAUCCCAGCUAGAAUUCCAUCCAAUAGAAGACAGAGGGGAGAGAAGAGCAGGGUAUUGGUAUCCACGCAAUUCAUCCAUUUAUUCCUCAAGCAUGUGUUAAGCGUUUGGCGAUGCUUCACGAUGUUGGACUCUGGACAUUCACAGAAGAUGAACACAUCUCACAAAAGGUGAAAAUGUUUAAAUCACCUGGGAUAAAGAACAUUCAGGGUUGAAAGAAUACAUGUUUGGUUAUAAUACUGCUUAUUAAGCAAGU